UGCUCAGCCUCUGUGCCCUGGGGUGGCUCUGCCUUCGAGGGUACCCCAAGGGUCUCUGCUCUUAGGGGGGGUGUCUCAGAAACUAGAGUCCUACCCUACCCCUCCUGAAUGUUUUAUAUGGGGAGAAAGAAGGAAGGAGUUUAUAAAAUGUUUUGGAGAGUUCCUAUAUUUCAGAGGUCACCCAUUUGCUUCCUUCAUUGAGAAAUUCUUUGUUUCUUUUUCUCUUUUCCCAGCCAGUGUGGUUCUACUCUCUCAAGCAAAAGCAGUCAAGCAGCUUCAGAAAGUGGAUGAAGAAACAUAACUGAGUGGCCAAGCACCCCUGGUGAAGGAGACAUGACUCUUCCAGGAGAGUGGGAUGGAGAGGAUGGACUGCAAAUGAAAGAAGCACUGACAGAAGAAAAACAGCUUCCUGUGGAAAACCUACAAAGCAAGGAGAGAGAAAGGGGUGAAAAAUGUACUGUGUUGCAUAGCACACAACAAGACUUAGAUUUUUGAGGGAGGUGGCAUCUG